CUCCCUGCAGGGGGGCUGCAAAGAGGAUGGAGUUGGGCUGUUCUCAGUGGGGGCAGAUACAGGACAAGGAGCAAUGGGCUCAGGCUGCAGCAAGGGAAGCUGAGGUUGGAUAGUAGGAAGAAUUUUCUCCCUAGGAGGGUGGUGAAGCGCUGGAGCAGGUUACCCAGAGAGGUGGUGGCGUCUCCAUCCUUGGAGGUGUUUAAGACCUGGGUAGACAAAGCCCUGGCUGGGAUGAUGUAGUUAGAGCAGGUCCUGCUUGGAGCAGGGGGUUGGACUAGUUGUGACCUCCCGAGGUCCCUUCCACCCUCGUUGUCUGUGCUUCGAUGUUCAUCUUUGCAGCAAGAUAGCGAAGUUGGCCUUGUGCUCCCUUCAGAGACGUUCUUAGCUAGGCACAGAAGGGCUGGGUUCACAUUGCUCCUUGGGCCCUUGCUCCUCUCGGGGCUGUGACUGCAUGGGGUGUUUUGGGCAGGACUGAUGCUGCUUGGACUGGAUGUGACCUCCGCAGCUCUGUGCCAGCCGCAUUUCUCUAGGGUCCUACGACUGUGGCCACAGGUGUGCCCGCAAGGAACUGCCCGGCACAUGCACAAGCAUCCCUCCGACGCAGCCGGCGCAGUCACUACGCCGAGAAAUGCGAGUCUGGAAAAGAGAGCGCAGCCACGCAGAUCUGAGCCCCUGGGGUGGGAGACGCUUGCAGCCCAGAUGUGAGCCCAGGUGUGCUGAGUCCGGAGCCCUCGCAGGAGGGCUGGGACGUGGAUCCGCUUCUUGAAGAUCCCAGAGGAGCGAGCUCUCAAAUGGGCACGGGGCUGCGGGCCGGGGAGGUGUCUCUCCAGGUCUGCGGUGCAGAGCGACAAAUGCUAGCGGAGGAGCAGGAACCUGCCCUGCAGGCGGGGGCUGCCCCAGGGGACCAGGGACAGCAGGGCGGGGUGGCGGACGCGCACGCUGGCUCCAACAAGGCAACAGGAAAGGAGCGUUUCCAGUCGGUUGCAGCAGAACAAAGCGAUAGGAAAUGGAGGGCGGCCGUUUUCACCCUCCCGGAUGCCAGGGGUGGGCUUUGGCAAGUCAGGGCAACACAAGCUGUAGACUGGGAGUUUCGGUACCCGCCGUCCCGGCUCCGAGGGCCGGGCAGUGAGGAGCAGACGCUCGCAGGUCCGGGAGGGGAUCGAUGGACGUGACAAACACCGGACAAGGCGGCAGCGAGCGGCUGCAUCACCACGAAACCUGCCAUUCUUCGGUCCUGGGAGGGUUGCAUAGGGACCGAGUUUGAUAAAAAGCCACAAGCUCGUUAGCGGCUGGGAGCAUCCUCAAAGGGAAACUUUAUCAGGGUGUGGUGACAUGUCCAGAAAGGUGUCAGGGUGGCUUUACAAAAAUACCCCGUGGUGGAAACUCAGCGAUGGAAACAGCCUCGAAAGGGCCAGGAGCAGCAGCGAGAGUCGGUAAAACACCGACCACGCCGACAGCCGCCGGUUUGGAAAGGAAGGGCCACUGAAGGGCCGGACGACUACACGAUGCCCCCGGACAUCCCCGCGAGACACAGGGUGCCGGACCGGCUUGCAGGGGUCGAGCGCACGUCUCGGUGUGGCCACGUGUGCCAGCAGCCGAAUAAACCCACGUGAGCAGAAAAGCGUGUCCCUGGAGCAGUCUGUCGGCCGACAGCCCCCGUCCCCAACCCCGGGUUUGGGGGAAGAGCGGGGAGGUCUUGGCUGGUGCCGUGCACAAGCAAGAGCCUUGUGGCUCGGGGCCGUCACACGACAAGGGAGACCAAAAGCCAGAUAACUGCAACAGGGACCACAGGACUGCAGAGAGCUGCAGUUUCCUGGAAAUGGGGCUGAUCUGAGCCAGCUCGCCCCGAGAGCAGCUCUGACAUGACAAACAUUAGAAAGAAACCGGGCGCGUGCACAUGGGCACCUUCACCCCACGGCCGGGACCCCCACGCCAACACCCCUGCAAGUCCCCGAGCCCGCUCCGGGCUCAGUGGUGCCAUUCCCCGGGGCAAGGGCGGCAUCGCUGCAGAAAGGGGCUCGCUGGGGCGUCUGCAGCUCCGGCAGUGACACCACACAACUUGGCCCUGGGAGAAAAAGAAAUGCUGCCCCCAGCUCCAUCCGCACGUCCGCGGACAGAGCUCGUCGGUGGAUGGAGCCACGAGCCGCUUGAAGCUGUUUUUCAAAACCUUUGCACAGCCCGGGUUUCUGCAUCUUUGCCUCGCGCAGGCUCAGAGGCUGCCGCCAGCCCUCUCCAGCCCGCGCAGGGGCCUUGGCUACACAUGGCAGGUUUGCUCGAACGCAGUGAAGCCUGCUGUAGAGAAACCAGUGCAAGCCUUCGAGCGGCCACAUUUCGUGGUUUAAAAACAAUCAGAAUUUGGGAAGGGCAGAAAGUUGAUAAGGGAAGCUAGGGACAUCAGGGGAAAAUCAAUACCUUUCAAGUAUGCUAGCAAGGAAAUGAAUCCUUGCAAACGCUGCAGGUGUGUAGCUAGGACGAGGCAGAACAAGUCAAGAAAUCAUCCUGUUCUUUAUUUGGAAAGAAGCUGGACAAUGUUCUCGUAUAAUGCAGGGAUGAUAAAUCGUUUUCCAAUCAGGACAAAGCUGGCUGAGCAGACUGCAGGUCUGCGGCUGUUAAUUUUUAGCAAACUCUGGACUGGCAGGGAAAUGCCAGGAGUCCAGGAGAGCGUGAAUCGCGCUGCCGGUGCUGCGCCGCAGGAGUGUGAAGCCCGCAGGUCUGAACGUCUGCGGGAGCCCACCGAGGGAUCAGGACGUUUGGAGCCUGUUAACGAACGCCGAGAGAUGGGCAGAAUCAGCACGAUUAGCUUUGAAAGAAGAAUAAAGAACUGGGAAUAAGACCCCAACUUCCACCUCACGGCCUCUGGAGCGAGCUGGGAUGGUUUGGACGGGGCCGAUGCUGCCUCCAGCCGGGGCUGGACUAGACACGAUCGCAGCACCGGGAUUUGAUCACCUCUGCGCUUGCUGCGGCUCUGCCCUGCCAGCACCCGCUGCAGGGCAGCCGUGCUGGGAUCCAGGGCCGGCAGCUGCAGCCUGGACGCCCGUCUAGCGGAGGGGACCAAGCCCGCUUCGUGCCCGGGUGCACCCGGGCAGGGCCGCUGCAGCCUGUAGUCAACGGAGGUGCAGAUCCUGGGGUGUUUGCUGCAGAGGCGACCUUGACCUUGACCCUGACCCAGGACAGCUGCUGCUCCCUCCCGCCUGGGGCCAGCCCCAGCUCAGGGCAGGUCAAGACCAGGCAGGAGGAGGUGAGCUGGCACCAGGGCUGGGCACACGGGCACUGCGGGGUCGUCACCAGGCAGGGUGCUCUGGGCAGGGAUGCAAUGGGGAGGUCGCCCCCCCUUGCAUUCCUGCUUCACCCCAAGUUCGACGCCAAUGGCCUGGCCCUGGCAGCAGCGAGGGGGUCACUUGACUUCACGGCUCAUUGUCACCCUCCCGAUUCUUUCUAAACUCUUCACUCCAGAGGUGUUAACGACCCGCUCUCCUUUUUAAUGGUCUCAGUGAUGCCCCAUUAACAAGCUGUACUUCCUGCUGCUGUCCUGGGGCUGUUCCUGCUAAGGAAGCCCCUUGUUGUCAAGAUGCUCAGGAAGGCUGGAUUUUGUGUUAGAAAUCUGCAGAAAAGAGAGGUACUCUGACUGCUAAUGGCUCCAGCACUGAUGAACCAUCUUUGGAUUGUUGUUUGCUAAGUUCGUUGUGUUUUAAUACAUAACACAAGCUCCUGUAAAUGCA